rnacentral:rRNA from 1 species
AUUGAACGCUGGCGGAAUGCUUUACACAUGCAAGUCGAACGGCAGCACGGGGGCAACCCUGGUGGCGAGUGGCGAACGGGUGAGUAAUACAUCGGAACGUGCCCAGUCGUGGGGGAUAACGUAGCGAAAGUUACGCUAAUACCGCAUACGAUCUACGGAUGAAAGCGGGGGACCGUAAGGCCUCGCGCGAUUGGAGCGGCCGAUGUCAGAUUAGGUAGUUGGUGAGGUAAAGGCUCACCAAGCCGACGAUCUGUAGCUGGUCUGAGAGGACGACAAGCCACACUGGGACUCAGACACGGCCCAGACUCCUACGGGAGUCAGCAGUGGGGAAUUUUGGACAAUGGGCGCAAGCCUGAUCCAGCCAUUCCGCGUGCAGGACGAAGGCCUUCGGGUUGUAAACUGCUUUUGUACGGAACGAAAAGGCUCUGGUUAAUACCUGGGGCUCAUGACGGUACCGUAAGAAUAAGCACCGGCUAACUACGUGCCAGCAGCCGCCGUAA